rnacentral:rRNA from 2 species
AGGAAAAGAAACCAACAGGGAUUGCCUUAGUAGCGGCGAGUGAAGCGGCAAAAGCUCAAAUUUGAAAUCUGGCACCUUCGGUGUCCGAGUUGUAAUUUGAAGAUUGUAACCUUGGGGUUGGCUCUUGUCUAUGUUUCUUGGAACAGGACGUCACAGAGGGUGAGAAUCCCGUGCGAUGAGAUGCCCAAUCCUAUGUAAGGUGCUUUCGAAGAGUCGAGUUGUUUGGGAAUGCAGCUCUAAGUGGGUGGUAAAUUCCAUCUAAAGCUAAAUAUUGGCGAGAGACCGAUAGCGAACAAGUACAGUGAUGGAAAGAUGAAAAGAACUUUGAAAAGAGAGUGAAAAAGUACGUGAAAUUGUUGAAAGGGAAGGGUUUGAGAUCAGACUCGAUAUUUUGUGAGCCUUGCCUUCGUGGCGGGGUGACCCGCAGCUUAUCGGGCCAGCAUCGGUUUGGGCGGUAGGAUAAUGGCGUAGGAAUGUGA